AGGUGGACUGAGCAAGAAAAGAAGCAUUUAGUAUUAGAUUACAAAAGAGUAUGGAUCGAUCUAUUAGCAUAAGUGUGGCAUUAGGAUAUAAUCUCUUUUACAAAAAAAUUGAAUCUUGUACAUAAGUAGAGAAAACAAGAUGAGAAAACAAAAAAAGACUUUUUGUAAAGAAACAAAGAUAAGUAUGACUAUAUUCAAGAAUCAAGUAUUAUUAAUAAGGCAUUUUUUACAUCCAAAUUAUCUAAAACUAUUAUAAAAUUUAAUUCUAAUAUAAAAAAAUAGAUUAAAAAUAGAAAAAAGUUAAUAGAUAUAAAAUAAUAGUAUUGAAAUGAUUGAAUGGUAUUGCAUAGAAAUCAAAGAGUGAUAUUAAAAAGUCAAUUUAUGGCAAGUAUUGCACAAGAAAGACCUCAAAAAUAAAGAAUUUCAAAAUCCAACUUACAUUGCUUGUAGCUAAAUUGAUAAGCUUCUAUUUAUUUUAAGAAAAAAUUGA
rnacentral:lncRNA from 1 species